rnacentral:rRNA from 1 species
GAUGAACGCUGACAGAAUGCUUAACACAUGCAAGUCAACUUGAACUUCGGUUUGGGUGGCGGACGGGUGAGUAACGCGUAAAGAACUUGCCUCACAGCUAGGGACAACAUUUGGAAACGAAUGCUAAUACCUGAUAUUAUGAUUAUAUGGCAUCGUAUAAUUAUGAAAGCUAUAUGCGCUGUGAGAGAGCUUUGCGUCCCAUUAGCUAGUUGGAGAGGUAACAGCUCACCAAGGCGAUGAUGGGUAGCCGGCCUGAGAGGGUGAUCGGCCACAAGGGGACUGAGACACGGCCCGUACUCCUACGGGAGGCAGCAGUGGGGAAUAUUGGACAAUGGACCGAGAGUCUGAUCCAGCAAUUCUGUGUGCACGAUGAAGUUUUUCGGAAUGUAAAGUGCUUUCAGUUGGGAAGAAAAAAAUGACGGUACCAACAGAAGAAGUGACGGCUAAAUACG